rnacentral:rRNA from 1 species
UACGUAGGGGGCAAGCGUUGUCCGGAUUCAUUGGGCGUAAAGAGCGUGUAGGCGGCCAGGUAGGUCGGUUGUGAAAACUCGAGGCUCAACCUCGAGAUGUCGGCGGAAACCAUCUGGCUAGAGUCCGGAAGAGGAGAAUGGAAUUCCCGGUGUAGCGGUGAAAUGCGCAGAUAUCAGGAAGAACACCCGUGGCUAAGGCGGCUCUCUAGUACGGUACUGACGCUGAGACGCGAAAGCGUGGGGAGCGAACAGG